CCUCUGGGUCAUUCUCAUUCACCAUCACAUUCAGCUUCUUCUGGCAAUUCCCAGAAAACCCAAUAAACCCCUAAUCUCUCCUCCUUUCAAAGUUGAAACCUUUCACGGCCAAUGUCUCUCCAAUACUCUGUUCUUGGCUUCUCAGUACAGUACGGCAAAGUUAUCUUCUCGUAGGGUUUAUUGACCCUUAUUUUUUUGCCAAUUCGAUUCAGUAGACGUAAAGGUUCUCUUUUGGAUUCUCCGUGAUUCUCUCUCGAUCUCCUUUAGUCUAUUUGUAUCCUCAGAUUUUUGAAUUGAAUUAAUCAAUUGGAGGAAUCUGAGUAUUUGAUAGUAUUGGGGAACGCUAAAGAUUCGAACUUUGGCUGGAAUCUCAUAUUUUGCAAUGGUGUUUUAGCUUAAUUCUAUCGAGUUUCUGGUGGGUUUUGAUUGCGAAGAUGAUUGUGGAGGAAGUUAGUGAUGGUUCUGUGUGGAGUAGGGAAGAUGAUAUCGCCUUCGAGAGAGCUCUUGCGAGUUAUACAGAUGAAUCAGAGGAGAAGUGGGAGAAGAUUGCUGCAGAUGUUCCGGGGAAGAGUGUUGAGCAGAUUAAAGAGCAUUACGAGGUUUUAGUUGAAGAUGUUGGGAGGAUUGAGUCAGGGUGUGUGCCGCUUCCUGACUAUGGUUCUCCUGAGGGAUCUAGUGGUCAUGGCGGUGAUGAUGGAGGAAGCGGUAAGAAAGGAGGGAAUAGUCAUGCGGGUGAGUCUAACCAGGGGAGUAAAGCGAAGUCGGAACAAGAACGACGAAAGGGUAUUGCCUGGACAGAAGAUGAACACAGGCUAUUUCUUCUUGGUUUGGAUAAGUAUGGGAAAGGAGAUUGGCGUAGCAUUUCUCGUAACUUCGUGGUAACAAGAACACCGACCCAAGUCGCAAGCCACGCUCAGAAGUACUUCAUUCGUCUAAACUCAAUGAACAAAGACAGAAGACGAUCAAGCAUUCACGACAUCACCAGUGUUGGCGAUGCAGAUGUCUCAACUCCACAAGGACCCAUCACUGGUCAGAACAACAACAACGGCAAUAACAACAACAACAACAACGGUUCUACUGCUGUUGCUGGAGGAGGAAACAAAUCAGCCAAGCAAGCCGCCUCUCAACCACCACCAGGACCUCCUCAUAUGUAUGGAACACCCACCAUAGGUCAACCUGGACCAUUGGUCUCAGCAGUUGGCACGCCAGUGAACCUCCCAGCUCCACCUCACUUGGCUUUUGGAGUCCAUACUGCUCCUGUCCCUGGUGCACCAGUGAAUAUGGGUCAGAUGCCGUACACCAUGCCGCGUACACCAACUGCUCAUAGAUAACGUUGAAAGAUUGUAGUAGUGUGCUCUACGGGUUUAGGUGUAAGAAAGAUGUGUAAAGGAUUUAGUGAAAUAUUCAAGCUUGUUCCUUCUGAGUGAGGUUUUUUUUAUUUAUUACUUUAGUUUGUUGGGUUUUUUACGAUGUUCCAAUAAUAGAUUAAGAUCAUCAAAUUUCUUUUUGUAUGUGAAAACAAUAAUGCUUAUGUGCCAAAGAUUUGAAGCAAGAUGCAGACAUCUUUGUAUGGGUUUUAA